GUGUCCUGUGCCAGGUGCAGCUGCAGGAGUCAGGACCUGGCCUGGUGAAGCCCUCGCAGACCCUGUCCCUCACCUGUGCUGUCUCUGGAUUCUCCAUCACAACCAGUUACUAUUGCUGGGAGUGGAUCCGUCAGCCCCCAGGACAGGGGCUGGAAUGGAUAGGGUACAUAUGUUAUAAUGGUAACACUUACUACAGCCCAUCCCUCAAGAGCCGAGUGUCCAUCUCCAGAGACACGUCCAAGAACCAGUUCUCCCUGCAGCUGAGCUCCCUGACCACUGAGGACACGGCCACCUAUUACUGUGCCAGAGCCACA